GCAACUGUAGCGCAGUUGGUAGAGCAUGGUGUUUGCAACGCCAGGGUUGUGGGUUCAUUUCCCACGGGGGGCC
rnacentral:tRNA from 1 species